UACGGAGGGUGCAAGCGUUGUCCGGAAUCACUGGGCUUAAAGGGCGCGUAGGCGGGCCGUCAAGUCAGGGGUGAAAGCCCCCAGCUCAACUGGGGAAGUGCCUCUGAUACUGGCGGCCUCGAGGGAGGUAGGGGCGUGCGGAACUUCCGGUGGAGCGGUGAAAUGCGUAGAUAUCGGAAGGAACACCGGUGGCGAAAGCGGCGCGCUGGACCUCUUCUGACGCUGAGGCGCGAAAGCCAGGGGAGCGAACGGG
rnacentral:rRNA from 1 species